GUUUUAAUAGUUUAAAAAAAACGCCGGUCUUGUAAACCGGAAAUAGACGAGCCCCCAUUUUUAAAACU
rnacentral:tRNA from 2 species